UACGUAGGGUGCAAGCGUUAAUCGGAAUUACUGGGCGUAAAGCGUGCGCAGGCGGUUAUGUAAGACAGAUGUGAAAUCCCCGGGCUCAACCUGGGAACUGUAUUUGUGACUGCAUAGCUAGAGUACGGCAGAGGGGGUUGGAAUUCCGCGUGUAGCAGUGAAAUGCGUAGAUAUGCGGAGGAACACCGAUGGCGAAGGCAAUCCCCUGGGCCUGUACUGACGCUCAUGCACGAAAGCGUGGGGAGCAAACAGG
rnacentral:rRNA from 1 species